rnacentral:lncRNA from 1 species
GUUCCUCCCCAAUUUCCUGUGGGUCUCCCCACAGCCCCCCUCCCACCUGCCGCAUUCUCUUUUCAGACACAGGACGGAUGCCCAGAACCCUCCGUCUCAGAGAUGCUGCAACUGCUGCUGCCCCCACUGUGGGCAGGUGGCUGUUAGUACAUUCACAAUGAUGUCCAACCAUCACAACUGUCUACUUCCAUCCAUCCAACAUCUUCAUCACCCCAAAGAGAAACCCUGUGCCAUGAAGCAGUCACUCUCCACGCUCCCCUCCCCCAGCCCCUGCAACCGCUACUCUACUUUCUGUUUCUAUGCAUUUGCCUAUUCUGGACGUUUCAUAUAAAUGGAAUUUUACAAAAUGUGGCCUUUCGUGUCUGGUUUCUUUCACUUCACAAAAUGUUUUCAAGGUUGACCCACAUAGAAUGUAUCAGUGAUUUUUUUCUUUUUUGUUUGAGUAAUAUCACAUUGUGUGGAUGUACCAGACUUUGUUCACACAUUGAUCAGUCGAUGGACAUUUGGGUCAUUUCCA